UCUCAGCCAUUAGUUGCAUCUAAUCCAAAUGUUGGAUUUAUUUCUAAAAUUAAAAUCAAAUUUGUUAGGGUUCCAUCUCUUUCACUCUUUCAAAGAAAAGAACGCUUCUUUUCUCUCUGCCAUAGCAGAGGGUUUUGGCUCCAUCUUUCUUCUUAGCAAAAUUUGACUCACAUAUCUUAAAAUCAGAAAUUUGUGUGGUCAUUUUAAGGAAUCAUCUGCAAACUCAAGCAAUUUGACUGAAGAGUUCAAAAUUCAUUGCCAUUUACAAUGAAGUUGACAAAGUUCGCGGUUGUAAGCUCGAGUUCAAGUCCGAAGCCAGAAUCUGUAGACCUUGACGUGACCCCAGUUCCUCCACCGCAAAAGGUCAGUUUUUCCUUAUAAGUUUUAGUCGCUCUUUAUUUUUUUAUUAAGUAUAAAGUUGUCGUUUUCUUAUCCAGUAGAAUCAUGUGUUAGUUCCCUUUUGUUCUGUUAUAGAAGUUCAUGGAUAGAAGUUCAUGGUUUAGUUAUUUUUUUAUUGUAUAAAUCAUGUGUUCAAAAAUUUGUUUGGUUCACUCAUGAAGCAUAUUCAUAAGAUGCUGCUAUUUUUAUACUAAUUAGGAACUAAAAAGUUUUACGUUAAAACUUGAUCUCAAAAACUAGUUUAAUCCCUAUCAAUCUCUGUCCGAUUCAAUUUCAUUAAAAGAGGAGUGGAUUCGAAACCUUAAGAGCAACUGUUCAAAUGGAGUUGGUUCUAUGCACUCUUUAGAGAUUGUUGUAACUUAGCCCAUAACUUGUUUUUCUUUCCAUGAUUAUAGACAAAAGGACAACUUGUUUAAUCAUUGUUAGUUUGGGAAGAGGACUUAUGGAUUGGCAUAAUGUUUGAUUAUUUAAAAAGGGUCAUAAAAGAAAAAUGCAUCUUGCUGCAGUAUUGACAUGCCUCCUUUCAUUUCUAUAAUACUAAUAUCAUGACAGUAGGCUUUUUUGUUCAUAUAAACUAAAUGUCAUAACUAUAAGAUUUAAGGUACCUUGUAAUGAUAUAAUUUAUAAAAACACAUAUUAGUAUGGAAUUUGGUGCAUGCUUAUAGAUCUCUUUGCAAAUUUGGUGCCUUUUUUGUUGAUUUUUAAAGUAACUUUAAGGGGUUUAAAGUAUGUACUAUUAGAGUAAAUUUGUUCUGAUCCUAGAGUGUAUGAGAUUUUAUUUGAGUAGAGAAUCUAAGCACUUACUUUUAAUAAAGGAACACUUUGGCAACCUUUAUGUUAAUAAGGUCCUAGCUAUGGGAUUUUUGGGUUACUUUUCUGUAAAUAAAAAAAAGGAAGAAGAAACAUUCUGAUAAUAAUAUGCUAGGCACUACGUCUUAAGAUCUUAUAUUUGCUUAAGAUUAGCAGGUCUCAAGAGUUCAAGAAACUUGGAUAUGUUUUGAAAUGGUUAAUUUGGUCAGCAUCCCUAGAAGAACAACUAGAACUGUUAAUCCUAUUGCUUAAAAUGAGAAAUGGGAAGUUUUUGUUUAUGUCUAGGUGCAAAGAUAUGAAUCUGUUAGUAUGUGAACUCUAGAAGUUGCAUAAUUUACGAUUCUUAUUGUUUUCCUUAUUCUCAUAUUACUUAACAAAGAAUGAAAUAUCCUUCUAAUUCUUUCUUUGCCUCUUUUCUCUUUUUGCAUAUACAUCUGGAGCAAAUCACGAGUUUUAAUACAAGACUCACCCUACAGAACAUGGAGUCACCACUGCAUCUUAGGCAUAUGGACAGCAAGAAAACAAGCAAAUUGCUUGGCCGCCUUCACUAUUUACAUUUACUCUAUUUUGAAUUUUUUAAUCAAUUUGAUUAUAUUAUUUGGUUAUUUUAGUUCUACACUUAAUCUGGGAUUGUUGAUUCAGUUUUGACUUCUUUACUUAGUAUUCUCACUUCGUCACUGGCGGAUAUUAUCUUCUUAUAUAAUAGUGCUCUUAAAUUA